rnacentral:lncRNA from 1 species
GAUCGAUCACCUGCAAAUCUCUGUCUUCCUACAACUUGAUUUCCACGUCACUAUCUCACUCAUCCAACCGAAAUGCACCUUUUCGGCAUCAAGCUAACAGGAGUAAUGAGGUCGCUAUAUUUUGAAAGAGAAUUUGCCCUCGGGUGCACUUGUAAAUCUUGAUAUAAUUUACCUGAUGACUUUCGUGUAAAAUGUGAUGAUAUAUGUCGAAUUUGUUGGUGUGAUGUUUAUAUGUCGAAUUUGUUUGUGUGAUUUUAUGUCGAAUUUUCUGUUUAUUCGAAAAAAUAGAAAACUAUUUAAUUCAAAUGCUUUAUGAUACUGUAUUCACUAGGGGUUGACUAUACCUAUUCAAUAGUCGGUAUAUAUAUUGGUUCAUAUUUAUAAAGAUUAUCAUAUGAAUCAGUUCAAUCAUACAGAAUAGAGAUUGUAGAUUUUAAUAUUUUAUACACUGUUACUUACGGGAAUUGAAUUACAAUGCCUCCAAAAUUGUUGGGAAAGUGGAGAGAAAACGUUGUGAAGCAGAAUAACAUUAAAAAGUAACGCUCAAGAAAAACAGUAACGCUGUUUUUCUACUUGCUGGUUGGAACAUGUUUAUUUUUGCUGUAUAAACACGUCAAUAUGGUGAUGCUAAUAGAUCUCAGCUUGUAAAUUAUAUUGUACAGUAAGGGGUAUGAGAAAGCUAACAUACUGUAUCACCGAACUUAGUCACAAAAUUACCACAAUAAAUGUAUGAACAUUUUUAAAAUAUUUUUUUAAUUAUACAAGCUUUGCAAUGUGCAUGGAAAUUUGAGGCCUAAAGGUAUAAUAUAUUCAAAUAUAAUAGCUGCAUGUACAAAAUAUCUCUGCAUGCAAGGAGUUUUUUUAGAGUCAGUUUUGGAUUCACUUUUCUCUUUUUUACUGCGAUAUAUCUCGUUUUCUCCAGCGUGGAGGUGGUUUCAACUGGUUUUUCGCUUUCUGAUUGGCUGGAUGAUUCAUUUUCACUCCUAUGAUUGGUUCUUUAUCUCCACCAACAUUACUGUGACGUUGUCAGAACUUCCUUUUCUGAUCGCAUCGCCCGCCACUCGACUACAUGCUGUCUCGUAGACAGACGAUACUCGAUAGUUAAUUUUCAUUUCGCGCGGUGAAUUUCCAUAUGUAAAUUUUAUUCCGACAAAUUUCAUUGUGAUUUCCGUAAACACUGUAGUGUGCCUAUUUUUAGUUAAUUGCGCCUGGGUACGAGGCUGCCAAGACCGCACAAAUUACGUCAGUUCAAAACAUGUCGUGUCAGUUCACGUGGACACGAAUCAUUUCACAUUUAGUUGAAUCAUUUCACAUUUAGUUGAAUCAUUUCACAUCUUGUUGAAUCAUUUCACAUUUAGUUGAAUCAUUUCACAUUUAGUUGAAUCAUUUCACAUCUUGUUGAAUCAUUUCACAUCUUGUUGAAUCAUUUCACAUUUAGUUGAAUCAUUUCACAUUUAGUUGAGUGAUUUCGCAUGGUAUUGAAUCGUGUCACAUCUAGUUGAACGAUGUCGCAUUUAACUGAGUGAUUUCAGAUUGCAUUGAGUCGUUUCACAUUUAGUUUAUUUAUUUCACAUAAGGUUGAAUCACGUCCCAUCUAGCCGAAUCAUUUCGUAUUUAGUUGAGCUAUUUUAAAACACAGCGGAUGGUUCUAAAAAAGCAUGAAUUAUUUGCCAACCGAACGUGUCACUUGUAUACGACCUGCUAAGUCAUUGCAAAAUAUGCCAAGCCAUUUCACUUGAACUAUAUGAAUCAGCGCAAUAAUAGACGAAUGAAUACACAAUCAAGUGAAUCGUUUCAAUUUUAAACAAAUCAUUUCUGUUCUUGUCCCGUCAUAUCACUACGUUAGGUUCAAGCAUUUCUAAACAUGAUGACUCGUUCGUGUUUGUAAUGAAUGAUUUCUGUUUAUGUCCAUUCAUUUCACAUGUGUAGUAUUUUUGGUGGUAACGGCCGCCCAUAAUAAUUUCCUUGACAAUAAUCGUGAGAUGAUUUUUUUAAUAUCGCCAACCCUACUGACGUGCGGCGCUUCCUGCGAUCAAAUUCGCCUAGACCUAGUGAUUAGUGGAAAACCGGCGUUACUGUACUCUGGAAAGCACGGUUUAGGGGCUGAUAGAACUACCCAAAAUAAAUAAUCAUUUAUGUUAGCCGGUUUUUGUGAUUGAUAGUGAUACUGUAACAUAUGCUAGUGAUUAUAUGGUUUAAUAGGGAUUAAGUAAUAAGAGACGUUUUAUAUAGAUAUCUGAUGACAGGUAGAGACUGGGGAAAAUGUGAU